rnacentral:rRNA from 1 species
AAGUCAGUUGCCAUAGACCCGAAACCAGGUGACCUAGCCAUGUCCAGGUUGAAGUGGAGGUAAAACUCCAUGGAGGACCGAACCCACGUACGUUGCAAUGUCCGGGGAUGAGUUGUGGCUAGCGGUGAAAUUCCAAUCGAACCUGGAGAUAGCUGGUUCUCCCCGAAAUAGCUUUAGGGCUAGCGUUAUAUUAGAUUCGCGGAGGUAAAGCACUGCAUGGGCUAGGGGGCUUAUCGCUUACUGAACCCUAGCAAACUAAGAAUGCCGCAGAAUUGAUGUAUGGCAGUCAGACUGUGAGAGAUAAAUUUCAUGGUCAAAAGGGAAACAGCCCAGACCUACAGCUAAGGUCCCAAAUAGAUACUAAGUGGGAAACGAUGUGAGAUUGCAAAAACAACCAGGAUGUUGGCUCAGAGGCAGCAACUCGUUUAAAGAGUGCGUAAUAGCUCACUGGUCGAGUGGUCUUGCGCGGAAAAUUUAACGGGGCUAAGUAUCUAACCGAAGCUUAGGAUUGUCGAAAGACAGUGGUAGGGGAGCGUCGUAUACGGGGCGAAGUCGCAGCGGAAGCAGCGGUGGACUGUAUACGAGUGAGAAUGCCGGAAUGAGUAGCGAGAAUUAUGUGGGAAUCAUAAUGGCCGAAAAUCUAAGGUUUCCUGGGGAAGGUUCGUCCGCCCAGGGUAAGCCGGGAGCUAAGGCGAGGCCGAAAGGCGUAGUCGAUGCACAUACGGUAGAAAUUCCGUAGCCGCCGAACUUUAAGCAUGCUGACACAUUGAGAUAGCGGAACCCAGGCGUUGGUUGACCUGGGCGUAAGGGACCGAAAUAUAGUAGGGAAGUCCGCGAUGCUCAGUGGCGAGAAAAGGCAUGAGGUAUACUAAGGCGCCCGUACCGCAAACCGACACAGGUGGAUGAGGAGAGAAUCCUAAGGCCAACGGGAGAAGGGUUGUUAAGGAACUCGGCAAGUUGACCCCGUAACUUCGGAAUAAGGGGAGCCUCGAAAGAGGCCGCAGUGAAAAGGCCCAAGCAACUGUUUACCAAAAACACAGGUCUAUGCUAAAUCGAAAGAUGACGUAUAUGGGCUGACGCCUGCCCGGUGCCGGAAGGUUAAGAGGAGAUGUCAGGCAACGAAGCAUUGAAUUUAAGCCCCGGUAAACGGCGGCCGUAACUAUAACGGUCCUAAGGUAGCGAAAUUCCUUGUCAGGUAAGUUCUGACCCGCACGAAUGGCGUAAUGAUUUGGGCACUGUCUCAACAGCCCGCCCGGCGAAAUUGUAGUACUGGUGAAGAUGCCAGUUACCCGCA